GGUUACUGGGCGUAUGAUCAGCUAGAACACGCCGCCCAAUUAGAGGGAAGCCUGCUUGAAUCCGCUGGUGGCAUGUACCGGACAUUCAUAUCGAGGGGCAGCAUUCGAUACUCAAUAUUAAGGUCCCGAAACACUUUGAUCAUCUUCUCCACCAGUAAAGCUCUCCUUGCGCACCUCUCACCCGCAUGCUGACCGUCGAUGCGGUGUUUAACAGCCACCACCAUCUUCAGCCUGUUCAUGUCCCCAGAUCUGUUAUCACCACAGCUGGACUCUGGUGCUCCUACUCUCAACAAACCUGCAAGCACAGCCACGAGCAAAGCAAACAAGUAUGGGGGAAUCAACGAUGAAGAGAAAAUACAUUUGAGACAAAAACUAAUGUCAUACUUGAGAGGGGAGAACUAGGUGUGCCUAAUUAAAUUUUGUUGAAAGUUAAAUUGUUCUUAUUCAUGCUGACACCUUGGCAGAGUAGGAAGGAGAUAACUAUUUGUUGGCUUUGGUCAACAAAUAUGACUAUUGUCUGAUGGAAUUGGUGGAAAUGGGUCAAUUUUCAUUAUAUUCCACCCAAAAUGAGGGCAUUAAUCAACCUACUUAAGCCUUGAAGUUAGAUUGGCUAAUUUCCUGUAUCUUGCACUUUCUCUGAAUAUAUAUUACACUUUGGCUGUGCUCAUCUCAAAAAUUUCUCGAAUUGAUUAUCCCAGAGAAUGGUAUGCUUUCACUUUCUCUAUCAUUGUUGUUAAUUUGCAAAUAGAAAGGAUAUGAAGUGUAUAUGCUUCCAUACUUGGUCAAUAUGGUAAACUUGCACUUUUUGGUUUGCAUAUGAUCAACACACCUUUGUAGCUUAAAUUGAGAUUAAGUUCUUUUGUUGGGGAAACUUCUGUUGCAUUUUAGGCUUGUGAGCAAACAUUCUAGUGAUCUAUCAAUCUUUCUUUUGUCAACAUUUCAUCUUUCUCAAAUUGGGGUAGCAUUAAUUGUUAGUUCCCGAAGAAUUAUCAAAGAAGUCACGCUGGUCAAAGAACUUAAGCACAAUAAUUGUGCCAAACUGUUAAUCCGUUUCUUUUCCUGUCUAGAGGGGGUGACUCCAGUAAUGGGCUCAAAAUUCUAUUCUUGGGAGAGAGUUUAGUACACUGGAAGUAGAUUUCCGUGUCCGGGAGGGGUUAAGUGGGUUGUUCUAACUUCAGUUUCUAGCAUAAACCUAAGUAUCAUAUUUAUAGGUAAGUAAUUCGGUAAUAAUGAAUGCCAGGCAUUGGCAGGUGGUGAGGAUAUAUGCUUAUUUUAUUGCUGGGCAGAACUGGUUGGGUGUGGCUGAUGGAGUUGGUCAGUGGUCACUGGAAGUGGAAGCCAAGAUGAUUGACGAUGCAGAGCUAUGGGGGACUGAUAAGUAAGCCACUGAAGAGGCUAAAUGGGCCAAGAAGAAUGCGAAGAGACAUACCAAAGACUCUCGUUUCCUACCUCGACAUAAAAAAUUGAAGGCCUCUGAGUUCCGCUUUGCUGAGCUUUUGCCCAGACCUGAGACAGGGGGCUCUCAAGGCACUAAGCACCUUUCUGAUAUGAUCCGAAAGGAGGCGGCCUCCAUCCCUAAAAAGUUUUCUGUAUCAAAACCUAGCAAAAUAGAAGAACUCUACCAAGUUUUUGUGAUCUAGAACACUAUAUUGUGAAAGAAGUCCUGAAGAAUGAACAAAAUUACAACAUGGUCGCAGGAUGUCAGCAACAGGAUAAAUUUAUCUUUUGGAAGGAAAAAGAUCUGGAAAUCAUGCGUGUUAUGAUGGACAUCAAUAAAUCAAGAAAAAAAAAAAUUUACCACGAGGGUGAUGAAUAAAAUUUGAUGUGAUUGUAAGACAAGAUAAGGACUCACUUGGACCCUUCCCCAGCCACAUUCAGGAAUAUCUUCUUGGCUGAAGACUUUGCCUCGCAUUCAUCUCUUAUUUGAAGGGUAGCCUCAUCCUCAUCAGUAGAGGUAGGCAAUUCCUCAUCCAAAGUGGACAAAAACCCAUUUUGCACCAUACUUAUUCAACCACAUUACUUGUUGGUGUUUAACAGAUCGCGUCCCUUUAAAGCUUAUACAAUUGAUAAUCAUUGAAUCUUUCAAUUUUUACUGCUUAUAUUUUUACUCACUCAAACCAAAAUAAUAGUCCAAGUUUCUAUUUUUUUAUUUUGACGUUCCAAAAUAGCGUCCAAUUUAUCAAAUUCAAAGAAUAUUCAAUUUUAUACUACCCAUUCUACCCUUAGUUAACUGUAUACACAUUUAAAUGAUCUAAACUAAUUAAAUAAUCAAUUUACUCUUGUUUUUUUUGUAUAUGGGUUGUAAAGUAAUUGUGUGUACUAGGGGAAAUUUAGUAUACUAGAAAGGGUAGUUAGCCCUAGUAUUAAUUAUGUUUUAUUAAUUUGUGUGUUUUGUCUAACUAAACUAUCUUUUCUGGAUGGAUCGAGUAUUUAUUUUUUAUCUGUAUCUUGAACUUAUUGCAUGGGAUUUUUCUUUAAUUCUCAAUUUAUGCGGGAUAUUCACAAUCUACUUCUAUUCCCUAUUAUAUUCAACAUUUAGUUUUCUUUUUUUUCUAAAAACACAUCUUGGCAUCCAAAAGUCAUCAAUUUCUAAGUUGCAGUCUUCUUUAUGCCUGUGCAAGGGAAUCAACAAUGAAGAGAAAAUACAUUUGAGACAAAAACUUAUGUCACACUUGAGAGAGGAGAACUAUCAGAUCACACUUACAUUGGCUGUGCUCAUCUCAAAAAUUGCUCGAAUUGAUUAUCCCAGAGAAUGGGAUUAAUGCAGGAAUUUAUGCCCGUGAACUGAUGGAGAACUGUCAAAAGAUUCUCUCAAAUUUUAGUAGCAAUUUGCUAACUGUUCCUAAGGAAGUUCUCUCUCGAAGUGCUCUUGCGUCAAAUGAAAUUCUUUUUGUACGAAAUAAGAGUUGAAUGAAAUUCAUGCAUCAUGUAGGUAUACUUUUAACAAAUGAUACUAUGCA